ensembl:lncRNA
GACCGCUCCUGUGCGAGACUUGAGAAUUCUGAGCGCUCAUGGACAUAUUAGCAUACUACAAAUAUCUAAAGGGGCUUUGAAUAUCACUGAGAAGAACGGUUCUUCUCAGGCCACUGAUUUGUGGAAGACAGCAGGCCAGCAGUCCCGUAGAAUGUUCCAGGAGAGAACGAUCCCAAUUGCAGUUUAUCUGUGGUUCAUCUGGCUUCAUCUCACACCACCUCUGUUGACAUGGGAGGGCUACCGGCCCACAUCCGGAAAGUAUUAUGAAACCACCGGGGUUCCUCCCCUCCCUGCUCCAGGGAAGCCUGAGAGGGACCCUGCAGAUUGCAUUUGGAAUCCAUCUGCCAGGCUAAUUUGCUUUGUAUGCUGGGGAGUUGGAUGACCUCUACACGAGCCUUUCAUCAGAGAGAGUUUCUGCAUUUUGAACGCUGUUCUAGAGUCAGUUAGAGACAAUCCCUGCAAAAUAACUUAUCUAAAAGCUCUUUCGAACUCCUCCCAGGGCAGCCUCACUAUGCUCUCACCAGAAUGCUAGAUGUGAAUGCGCAUUCGGUGAACUAGACCCUUGGAGCCUCAGUUUCCUCCUCUCUGAAACAGGAACAGACACGCUUCCCUUACCUGACUCCUGGAGUCACUGUGGGAAUAAAGUCAGAGCACCAGCUACAUCGUCAUGUGACGCACCAAAACACGGAGGCCACUGUUCUUACUCAAUUCGUGGAAAUGUAACUUAUUUCCCACGCGAUGUGGAACAAAUAUUAAAAGAAAGAAGAUUCUUCUGUGUCGCCUGCUAUUGUUUUCUUGUGAUCUGGCAGCUCAGUAACUGAAUGAGAGCCCCAGGGUGAAGAAAAGCUACCAAGCUACCCAGUACCUUUCAAGCCCAGGCAGCUCAUGUGUGGCCAGAACAAUGUGCUGUUUGGGGAGGGAACACGAGGGCCUCCUUGCAGGACAAAAAUUCCCCUGUGAAUCAUACCCAGACGGAGUCUUCUUUAUUAGGGCUGUUAAAUAACAAAACCACCCUAUCCCUGAACAGCAGCAACAGCACAGUAACCGGGGAAGGUGACAGACUGACUGUGCUGUUUGGCUAGAGGGAAGGAAAGGGACAUUAACCCUCUAUGCUGCCUCCAGGAAGCCCCGUAGGAGCAUCCAACAGAGAGCCCCUGGCUGCUCCACAGAGGAAGGGCAGAGGCCUUGGCGGGCAGGGAAGUUAGGGAGUCAGCAACAAAGCCCGGCUGAGAAGUCACAUUUCUUACACUCCAAAUUUCAGCCCUGUGAAAAUGGAAUAUGUGGAAUUGCUGUUUGCAGUAACGAAACAGAGCAUUUUGAAAACACUUUUUAUAGAUUUCGGGGGUACAGGUGCAGUUGUGGUACAUGGAUAUAUUGCAUCGUGGUGAAGUUCGGGCUUUCACUGUAAGCAUCACUGGAAUAGUGUGUGUUGUACCAUUCGCUGAUUUCUCACCCCUCCACCCUCCUGUUCUGUGUCUCCAGCAUCUUUUAUUUCACUCUCGAGGUCCAGGUGUACACAUUCUUCAGCUCCCACUUAUAAGCAAGAACAAGAGGUGCUUGACUUUCUGUUCCUGUGUUGCUUCACUUAAGAUGGUGGCCUCCAGUUCCAUCCACGUUGCUGCAAAAGACAUGAUGAUUUUAUUCUUUUUUAUGCCUGCAUAGUAUUCCAUGGUCUAUGUACACCACAUUUGCUUCAUCUAAUCAGCUCUGAUGGAUACUUAGGUUGGUUCCAUGUUUUUGCCAUUGUGAAGAGUGCUGUGUUAAAUAUACAAGUAUGGGUGUCUUUUCCAUAUGAUUUAUUUCUUUUGGGUAGAUACUUUGUAGCAGAAUGGCUGGAUCGAAUGGUAGUUCUAGGUUUAGUUGUCUGAGAAACCUUCAUACUAUUUUCUAUAGAGGUUGGACUAAUUUUACGUUCCCACCAACAAUGCAAAAGUGUUCUCUUUUCUCUGUAUUCUUGUCAACAUCUGUUGUUUUUUGACAUUUUAAUAAGAGCUAUUCUGACUAGUGUAAGACGCUA